CCUACGGGGAGCUGCAGUGGGGGAUAUUGCACAAUGGAGGAAACCCUGAUGCAGCGACGCCGCGUGGGCGAAGAAGUAUUUCGGUAUGGAAAGCACUAGAAGCAGGGAAGAAGAAAUGACGGUACCUGAGGAAGAAGCACCGGCUAAAUACGUGCAAGCAGCAGCGGUAAGACGUAUGGGGCAAGAGUUAUCCGGAUUUACUGGGUGGAAAGGGAGCACAGGCGGCAAGGCAAGCCUGAUGUGAAAGCCGGCGGCUCCACCGCGGGACUGCAUUGGGAACUACCGGGCUGGAGUGCCGGAGAGGUAGGCGGAAUUCCUAGUGUAGCGGUGAAAUGCGUAGAUAUUAGGAGGAACACCAGUGGCGAAGGCGGCCUACUGGACGGUGACUGACGCUGAGGCUCGAAAGCGUGGGGAGCAAACAGGAUUAGAUACCCGUGUAGUC
rnacentral:rRNA from 1 species